rnacentral:rRNA from 1 species
GUAGGGAAUAUUGGGCAAUGGUCGGAAGACUGACCCAGCCAUGCCGCGUGCAGGAAGACGGCCCUCUGGGUUGUAAACUGCUUUUAUCUGGGAAGAAAAAGGCCAUGCGUGGCAAAUUGCCGGUACCAGAUGAAUAAGCACCGGCUAACUCCGUGCCAGCAGCCGCGGUAAUACGGAGGGUGCGAGCGUUGUCCGGAUUUAUUGGGUUUAAAGGGUGCGUAGGCGGCUGAUUAAGUCAGCGGUGAAAGACUUCGGCUUAACCGGAGCAGUGCCGUUGAUACUGGUUGGCUUGAGUGUCGGAGGGGUACAUGGAAUUGAUGGUGUAGCGGUGAAAUGCAUAGAUACCAUCAGGAACACCGAUAGCGAAGGCAUUGUACUGGCCGACAACUGACGCUGAUGCACGAAAGUGUGGGGAUCGAACAGGAUUAGAAACCCUUGUAGUCC